CCCUUAGAUGUUCUGGGCCGCACGCGCGCUACACUGAUGCGUUCAACGAGUAUACAACCUUGAUCGAUAGGUCUGGGUAAUCUUGUGAAUGCGCAUCGUGCUAGGGAUAGAUUGUUGCAAUUUUCAAUCUUGAACGAGGAAUUCCUAGUAAACGCAAGUCAUCAGCUUGCAUUGAUUACGUCCCUGCCCUUUGUACACACCGCCCGUCGCUCCUACCGAUUGAGUGGUCCGGUGAGGCUUUGGGAUCUGAGCGGAAAGAGCGUUUCGCUGUUUCUGCUCGGAAAACUCAGUCGAACCUUAUCAUUUAGAGGAAGGAGAAGUCGUAACA
rnacentral:rRNA from 1 species